GCUCCCGUAGUCUAGCCCGGUCAAGGAUAUGGGCCUCUCGAGCCUAAGACGCGGGUUCAAAUCCCGCCGGGAGCA
rnacentral:tRNA from 1 species